rnacentral:rRNA from 1 species
GACGACCGGCGCACGGGUGAGUAACGCGUAUGCAACCUUCCUUUAACUGUAGAAUAGCCCCCGGAAACGGGGAUUAAUGCUACAUGUUAUUUAUCUGCCGCAUGACAGAUAAAUUAAAGUUCCGACGGUUAAAGAUGGGCAUGCGUGACAUUAGUUAGUUGGCGGGGUAACGGCCCACCAAGACGACGAUGUCUAGGGGUUCUGAGAGGAAGGUCCCCCACACUGGUACUGAGACACGGACCAGACUCCUACGGGAGGCAGCAGUGAGGAAUAUUGGUCAAUGGACGCAAGUCUGAACCAGCCAUGUCGCGUGCAGGAUGACUGCCCUAUGGGUUGUAAACUGCUUUUGUAUGGGAAGAAAGCUAGCUACGUGUAGCUAUUUGCCGGUACCAUACGAAUAAGCAUCGGCUAACUCCGUGCCAGCAGCCGCGGUAAUACGGAGGAUGCGAGCGUUAUCCGGAUUUAUUGGGUUUAAAGGGUGCGUAGGCGGAAUGGUAAGUCAGU